GACGAACGCUGGCGGCGUGCUUAACACAUGCAAGUCGAACGGAAAGGCCCUGCUUUUGUGGGGUGCUCGAGUGGCGAACGGGUGAGUAACACGUGAGUAACCUGCCCUUGACUUUGGGAUAACUUCAGGAAACUGGGGCUAAUACCGGAUAGGAGCUCCUGCUGCAUGGUGGGGGUUGGAAAGUUUCGGCGGUUGGGGAUGGACUCGCGGCUUAUCAGCUUGUUGGUGGGGUAGUGGCUUACCAAGGCUUUGACGGGUAGCCGGCCUGAGAGGGUGACCGGCCACAGUGGGACUGAGAUACGGCCCAGACUCCUACGGGAGGCAGCAGUGGGGAAUAUUGCAAAAUGGGCGGAAGCCUGAUGCAGCAACGCCGCGUGCGGGAUGACGGCCUUCGGGUUGUAACCCGCUUUCGCCUGUGACGAAGCGUGAGUGACGGUAAUGUGUAAAGAAGCACCGGCUAACUACGUG
rnacentral:rRNA from 1 species